UACGUAGGGUGCAAGCGUUGUCCGGAAUUAUUGGGCGUAAAGAGCUCGUAGGCGGUCUGUUGCGUCGGCUGUGAAAACCCGGGGCUCAACCCCGGGCCUGCAGCCGAUACGGGCAGACUAGAGUUCGGCAGGGGAGACUGGAAUUCCUGGUGUAGCGGUGAAAUGCGCAGAUAUCAGGAGGAACACCGGUGGCGAAGGCGGGUCUCUGGGCCGAUACUGACGCUGAGGAGCGAAAGCGUGGGGAGCGAUCCGG
rnacentral:rRNA from 1 species